CCCACACACACUGAAUUUGUUUGUUUGAACAAUGUCACAGAGAGCUUUAGUGAGCAACAGUUUCACAAGUCUUUAUUUAAUUUCAUACCCUCUCUCCAUGUUGAUCAGACAGUAACAGGUGCAAUAGAUUGUUUUCAUUCAGAUUCUCUCAAACCAAAUGGAAAACAUUUUUAUAUUUCCUGCUUUGUCUCUCUCCGAGCUUUCCUGUGCUCUCUCUGUGUUCUUCUGCCCUGCUGACCCUAAAGCUGAACUCCUUUUCUGUCAGGUCUCUGAUGAGCAAGUAAGGAUACUCAGCAUUAACACUAGCAUGGUCCAGAUAAAAAGCCCUUCCUUCCUCCAUCCUGGCAGCAGCUGCCUUGAAAAGACACACGCAUGCCAAAAAAGUGCCUCUUUGGUGCAAAAGAGCAGAUUUUCACACAAACCAGUAGGCCUGAGGCUUUCCUGGAAAUGCCAGAGGGGUUGGCCAAAGUAACAGCGAAAAUGCUCGAAUCAGAAAAAAUGCAGUGGACUUCCUGCUAUUGUUUGAACAUUACUCAGGAAGUCACAAUAAUAGGUGUCAGCUUUUCUGAUAGCUUACUAAUCUCUGUUUGAUGUUGUCAACACAACUAACUUUGCACUUUGUUAGUUAAGCAAUAUAAUCUAAAUAUUAGCCAUACAAAUUGGGCAAAGUGAGUAACCCCUGUCACAAAUAAAUUAAGUGAUUGAAAGCUAUUUGCUCAAGUUUUAAUUACACAAAGCUGGUUAAUCUUUCAACACCAAUCUAAUUUAAUGUACGAAUAAGUUCAUUUAGUCUGUUUUAGUUAUCUCAUUGUACCGAUGUACUCAUCAUAUUCUCCUCUUCCUCCACCUCCUGCUACAGGCCCACUCUGACCAGUAAAGAGCGUGUGUGUUGUGUGGGCCGGAGUUUCUGUCUUGCACAGCGAGCAUUAGUCAUCCAGGUUGGUGGAUGGAGAGAACAAGUAACUCAGGUGGGUGGAGGUGCCCUCAUAUUGGAUCACAGUGAGGCCUCAAAAACAAAGAACAAUGCCUCUGAGAUGAGACGCUGGAAAACAGAGAGGUUUCAACAAACAGGGGUUCAAAAUAAAAGUAUUUUAAGAGCAGCUUAUACCUGACAGAGAGGUAUUUUGCUUUUCUUUGCACCAAAUAUAAGGAUCUGCUGUCAAGCCAUGAGUAUAUUUUCAUGUAAAAUCAUUGUAUUACUCUAUUUUUGUAGGCUUUCUUGGAAGGUUUUAGGUAAUAUUUAACAGGAUAAGUAAAAUAUAAAUUUCCUUGGAUUUACAUGGGAGUUCGGUGGUCUUUCUACUUAAAGUCCACCUAAUGAUCUAUCUAUUUGAAAGUGAUCAAUUCGUUUCACAGUUUUCUAGUGAAAAAAUAAAAUGUACCCCAUUCUUAUGUUAC